UACGUAGGAGGCGAGCGUUAUCCGGAUUUAUUGGGCGUAAAGAGCGCGCAGGCGGUCCUGCAAGUCGGAUGUGAAAUCUCCCGGCUCAACUGGGAGGGGCCAUUCGAAACUGCUGGACUGGAGGGCAACAGAGGGAGAUGGAAUUCCCGGUGUAGUGGUGAAAUGCGUAGAUAUCGGGAGGAACACCAGUGGCGAAAGCGGUCUCCUAGGUUGUACCUGACGCUGAGGCGCGAAAGCGUGGGGAG
rnacentral:rRNA from 1 species